rnacentral:rRNA from 1 species
GAUGAACGCUGGCGGCGUGCCUAAUACAUGCAAGUCGAGCGAACAGAUGAGGAGCUUGCUCCUCUGACGUUAGCGGCGGACGGGUGAGUAACACGUGGAUAACCUACCUAUAAGACUGGGAUAACUUCGGGAAACCGGAGCUAAUACCGGAUAAUAUAUUGAACCGCAUGGUUCAAUAGUGAAAGACGGUUUUGCUGUCACUUAUAGAUGGAUCCGCGCCGCAUUAGCUAGUUGGUAAGGUAACGGCUUACCAAGGCAACGAUGCGUAGCCGACCUGAGAGGGUGAUCGGCCACACUGGAACUGAGACACGGUCCAGACUCCUACGGGAGGCAGCAGUAGGGAAUCUUCCGCAAUGGGCGAAAGCCUGACGGAGCAACGCCGCGCGAGUGAUGAAGGUCUUCGGAUCGUAAAACUCUGUUAUUAGGGAAGAACAAAUGUGUAAGUAACUAUGCACGUCUUGACGGUACCUAAUCAGAAAGCCACGGCUAACUACGUG